AACCGACACAGGUGGUCAGGUAGAGAAUACUCAGGCGCUUGAGAGAACUCGGGUGAAGGAACUAGGCAAAAUGGUGCCGUAACUUCGGGAGAAGGCACGCUGGCGGUAGGUAAAGUCCCUCGCGGACAGAGCUGAAGCCAGUCGAAGAUACCAGCUGGCUGCAACUGUUUAUUAAAAACACAGCACUGUGCAAACACGAAAGUGGACGUAUACGGUGUGACGCCUGCCCGGUGCUGGAAGGUUAAUUGAUGGGGUCA
rnacentral:rRNA from 2 species